rnacentral:rRNA from 1 species
UACAGAGGUCUCAAGCGUUGUUCGGAUUCAUUGGGCGUAAAGGGUGCGUAGGUGGCGAGGCAAGUCAGAUGUGAAAUCCCAGGGCUCAACCCUGGAACUGCAUUUGAUACUGCCCUGCUUGAGUACUGGAGGGGAGAUUGGAAUUUACGGUGUAGCAGUGAAAUGCGUAGAUAUCGUAAGGAAGACCAGUGGCGAAGGCGAAUCUCUGGACAGUUACUGACACUGAGGCACGAAGGCCAGGGGAGCAAACGGG